rnacentral:rRNA from 1 species
CAUUUAAAGAGUGCGUAAUAGCUCACUGGUCGAGUGACUCUGCGCCGAAAAUGUACCGGGGCUAAACGUAUCACCGAAGCUGCGGACUGUUCUUACGAACAGUGGUAGGAGAGCGUUCUAAGUGCUGUGAAGUCAGACCGGAAGGACUGGUGGAGCGCUUAGAAGUGAGAAUGCCGGUAUGAGUAGCGAAAGACGGGUGAGAAUCCCGUCCACCGAAUGCCUAAGGUUUCCUGAGGAAGGCUCGUCCGCUCAGGGUUAGUCGGGACCUAAGCCGAGGCCGAAAGGCGUAGGCGAUGGACAACAGGUUGAUAUUCCUGUACCACCUCCUCACCAUUUGAGCAAUGGGGGGACGCAGGAGGAUAGGGUAAGCGCGGUAUUGGAUAUCCGCGUCCAAGCAGUUAGGCUGGGAAAUAGGCAAAUCCGUUUCCCGUAAAGGCUGAGCUGUGAUGGCGAGCGAAAUUUAGUAGCGAAGUUCCUGAUUCCACACUGCCAAGAAAAGCCUCUAGCGAGGUGAGAGGUGCCCGUACCGCAAACCGACACAGGUAGGCGAGGAGAGAAUCCUAAGGUGAUCGAGAGAACUCUCGUUAAGGAACUCGGCAAAAUGACCCCGUAACUUCGGGAGAAGGGGUGCUUCUUAGGGUGUUAAAGCCCCGAGAAGCCGCAGUGAAUAGGCCCAGGCGACUGUUUAGCAAAAACACAGGUCUCUGCGAAGCCGUAAGGCGAAGUAUAGGGGCUGACGCCUGCCCGGUGCUGGAAGGUUAAGAGGAGCGCUUAGCGUAAGCGAAGGUGCGAAUUGAAGCCCCAGUAAACGGCGGCCGUAACUAUAACGGUCCUAAGGUAGCGAAAUUCCUUGUCGGGUAAGUUCCGACCCGCACGAAAGGCGCAACGAUCUGGGCACUGUCUCAACGAGAGACUCGGUGAAAUUAUAGUACCUGUGAAGAUGCAGGUUACCCGCGACAGGACGGAAAGACCCCGUGGAGCUUUACUGCAGCCUGAUAUUGAAUGUUGGUACAGCUUGUACAGGAUAGGUAGGAGCCUUGGAAACCGGAGCGCUAGCUUCGGUGGAGGCAUCGGUGGGAUACUACCCUGGCUGUAUUGACCUUCUAACCCGCUGCCCUUAUCGGGCAGGGAGACAGUGUCAGGUGGGCAGUUUGACUGGGGCGGUCGCCUCCUAAAAUGUAACGGAGGCGCCCAAAGGUUCCCUCAGAAUGGUUGGAAAUCAUUCGCAGAGUGUAAAGGCACAAGGGAGCUUGACUGCGAGACCUACAAGUCGAGCAGGGACGAAAGUCGGGCUUAGUGAUCCGGUGGUUCCGCAUGGAAGGGCCAUCGCUCAACGGAUAAAAGCUACCCCGGGGAUAACAGGCUUAUCUCCCCCAAGAGUCCACAUCGACGGGGAGGUUUGGCACCUCGAUGUCGGCUCAUCGCAUCCUGGGGCUGUAGUCGGUCCCAAGGGUUGGGCUGUUCGCCCAUUAAAGCGGUACGCGAGCUGGGUUCAGAACGUCGUGAGACAGUUCGGUCCCUAUCCGUCGCGGGCGCAGGAAAUUUGAGAGGAGCUGUCCUUAGUACGAGAGGACCGGGAUGGACGCACCGCUGGUGUACCAGUUGUUCUGCCAAGGGCAUCGCUGGGUAGCUAUGUGCGGACGGGAUAAGUGCUGAAAGCAUCUAAGCAUGAAGCCCCCCUCAAGAUGAGAUUUCCCAUUCCGCAAGGAAGUAAGAUCCCUGAAAGAUGAUCAGGUUGAUAGGUCUGAGGUGGAAGCGUGGUGACACGUGGAGCUGACAGAUACUAAUAGAUCGAGGACUUAACCUA